UACGUAGGGGGCAAGCGUUGUCCGGAUUCAUUGGGCGUAAAGAGCGGGUAGGCGGCCAGGUAGGUCGGUUGUGAAAACUGGAGGCUCAACCUUCAGACGUCGACCGAAACCCCCUGGCUAGAGUCCGGGAGAGGAGAGUGGAAUUCCUGGUGUAGCGGUGGAAUGCGCAGAUAUCAGGAAGAACACCCGUGGCGAAAGCGGCUCUCUGGAACGGUACUGACGCUGAGACGCGAAAGCGUGGGGAGCGAACAGG
rnacentral:rRNA from 1 species